GAGCCUUGCGGCGGGAGCUUGAGCAUAAUUCUACGUGAUAUAGCUUGAAAAUUUUCACUGCCCUGUCAUUUCAAUUAAGUCCAGUUGAUGAGCGUCCCAUACAGAAAACUCUUAUUUUUAACUUUUUGCCGAAAACUUUCUAGAAAAUUCCAGAUUUUAAGUUAUUUCUAAAAAUAUAUGCAGAAUUAAAAUGGCAGGGUGAGUGAUUUUUUUUCCUAACAAUUUCUGGCACCUGUUUAUCGUGUUUUGGAUUGAAGUUCAGAUGCUUGCUGAUGAUGACGGCCGUUUAUUUGUUUUCAUUUCAUACAGAUUUUCUAGAAUGCAACACAUCUUCCUCUGCUCCACCGCGACCUGGAAGCCCUUUUAAACCACGACAAGAAAUUGCAACGCUGGGGAAAAUUGAUUUUUGUUAAAUAGCUUUAUUGCAACCCCACAAGAUACAAAAUAAACACAGUCAGUAUUACAACCCUGAAGGGCCAGCCGCUCAAGCUGGACUCGUCAGCGGAGAAGUACAGUACAACUAUUUCGAAAGUUAAUAAUAGAUGCUUCAUUAUUUGCAAUAAAAUAGUCUUAAACGUAGCUGGAUAUCACUCAGCUUUAGAAUUUGAGGCUCUUGGCGAAGAGGGCGGCCGUGGCCUGCGUCUUGUCACCAUUGAAGCGUCGCAGCUCUGAAAUUACUUGCUCGCGAGAGAAGCUGAGGGCCAUCAGCUCUUUGACCGUGGCCUCCGAGAAGGAGUCGUUGGGCAUGAUGGUGGUGGCCGGGUCGGAGAGGCGGCCGCUCGAGCUGGCGCUGGGCCCGGCCGCCGUCGCCGACUGGCUCCGCUCCAUCGCCUCGGCCAUCUGCUGGUGCUCCGCCUGCCUCCUGCUCUCCUCGAUGAUCUUCUCCUCGUCCAACGUGUCCUGCCCGCUCAGCCGCGCGCACUCGGGCAAGUCGCUCUCGGAGAGAAACGGCGUUUCCGUGCCGGUCGUGCCGAUGUGGAGGAUGUUUCUUUUCAGGUCGAUUGUGCACUGAAAAAUUCAAGAUGGUUAAAGUGGAUCAAUUCAGGGCAACAUU